UAUUUAUAUAGUAUAAAAAUUAUUUUUAACUUCCAAUUAAAAGAUCUAAAAAAAGUAUAAAUAA
rnacentral:tRNA from 1 species